GACGAACGCUGGCGGCGUGCUUAACACAUGCAAGUCGAACGGUGAAGCGCUUGCCUUUUUGGUGGGUGUGGAUGAGUGGCGAACGGGUGAGUAACACGUGAGUAACCUGCCCUCUUCUUCUGGAUAACCUCAUGAAAGUGGGGCUAAUACGGGGUAUUCCGGGUCUGUCGCAUGGCGGGUUUGGGAAAGAUUGCGCCUUUGGGUGUUUUCGGUGGGGGAUGGGCUCGCGGCCUAUCAGCUUGUUGGUGGGGUGAUGGCCUACCAAGGCGGUGACGGGUAGCCGGCCUGAGAGGGUGGACGGCCACACUGGGACUGAGACACGGCCCAGACUCCGGCGGGAGGCAGCAGUGGGGAAGAUUGCACAAUGGGCGCAAGCCUGAUGCAGCGACGCCGCGUGAGGGAUGGAGGCCUUCGGGUUGUGAACCUCUUUCGCCAGUGAAGCAGGCCUGCUCCUGUGUGGGUGGGUUGACGGUAGCUGGAUAAGAAGCGCCGGCUAACUACGUG
rnacentral:rRNA from 1 species